rnacentral:rRNA from 1 species
UACGUAGGCAGCAAGCGUUGUUCGGAAUUAUUGGGUUUAAAGGGUGCGUAGGCGGCUUUGUAAGUCAGUGGUGAAAUAUGGCAGCUCAACUGUCAAGGUGCCAUUGAUACUGCAGAGCUUGAGUACAGAUGAGGUAGGCGGAAUUGACGGUGUAGCGGUGAAAUGCUUAGAUAUCGUCAAGAACACCUAUAGCGAAGGCAGCUUACUAGGCUGUAACUGACGCUGAGGCACGAAAGUGUGGGGAUCAAACAGG